AAACGCAAUUUUAAUGUUUUAUUUUAAUUUUUGGUGACCUAUUUUUUUUUCGAUGUUGCUACGACCUCGUGCGCAAAAAUAAACAUGGAGAAACAUGUGCUUUGCAGCUUUAUCGGAACUGACAAUGUCCGCAGCGCUAUUUUUCCAAGUGAACGCAGUGUAAUGACAGAUAAGAGAAAGAGAAGUAUAUGUCUCAUUGGCUGCAGAGCUUUUGCAAACACUUUUUAACCAGUUUUUGCGUAUAUUUUGUUUGUGUACCAGCCUUCAAAUAUUCCUUCCAACAUGGUGGGCGGGGCUCCGUGGUUAAGCCGAGAGGCUUGAGCCCCAUGGCGUACUUCCACAUCGAUGGCAGUAAACGGAUGUCAUUGGUCCUUUUCAUGUGAAUUCAGAAGUUUUCGGAAUAAGACCAGUGUCAUAAGACUAGUUGGUGCUUUCCAGAAUAAAGGCACAAGAUGGCAGAGUAUGUUGUGACUGUCAAAAGGAGCCUCUUUAAGGAAGACGAGAGAUGUGCAAAGGCACAUAUCAAGCACUUGUCCUCACACUGCCUUGCCAAUGACCAAUGAAAUGGUUGACAACAGUAUCUGAAGAUCUUCGAAGUAGUUGAAUGUCAUACAGACCUCUGUCUAUGGCUGCUAAACUAACGCUUGGCAGUUUUAUGUGAAAAAUUCAAAAAUAUAGGAGU